rnacentral:lncRNA from 1 species
GGAUAGUACUGUGUACCAGAAAGUUUGGUAGCAGAUUUGGGAUUACCAAAUCCGGGAAUUAUUGGAGGCAGGUUACAUCACGAGCUGCUAUAAUUUAGAGUAGCAGAUGGUUGUGGCCUUUAUCAGUUAAUGAAAAUAUAUGCUGAAAAGGCAGCCAAAGGAUGAUAUUUUCGGCGAAAUGAAGUUCUCCUGCAUGCUUUCCACACUUUAUUAUUUUAGAGGAG